GUUUGGGCAAAGGCUAGUUUAUUUCACCAUGGGGGCUGCCCGUUCUCGCUCCCUCGCCCUGGCCAUGCUCAUGCUUGUGCUGCUCAACUUGGCGCUGGUCAGCAGCGGUCGCAAGAGCGGCCUUACGCCGGCUGCCCCGGGCAGCCACGUUGGCAGCAAUAACCCUCCGGUCUCUUCCCAUGGCGGCCACCCCCAAGCUCCUCCCGAAACCCCAGCGAACACCGGCUAUGGGGCCCAUGUGUUCAAGGGCGACUAUGAUCAUGGAAGUCCUGGUCCUGUUCCACCUAGUUCUUGUUGUGGCCAUUGAGAAGCCGGAUUGACAGCAUGCCAUGAUGAACCAAGAGGAGAAAAUUUUAUUCACAACAAUAAAACAAAGAUCGCACUUUUCCCCACAUUAGUUAAUGUAUCCAUCACUCCAUCUAUAUUGUGUUUUUGAUUUUU